GAUGAACGCUGGCGGCGUGCCUAAUACAUGCAAGUCGAGCGAACGGACGAGAAGCUUGCUUCUCUGAUGUUAGCGGCGGACGGGUGAGUAGCACGUGGAUAACCUACCUAUAAGACUGGGAUAACUUCGGGAAACCGGAGCUAAUACCGGAUAAUAUUUUGAACCGCAUGGUUCAAAAGUAAAAGACGGUCUUGCUGUCACUUAUAGAUGGAUCCGCGCUGCAUUAGCUAGUUGGUAAGGUAACGGCUUACCAAGGCAACGAUGCAUAGCCGACCUGAGAGGGUGAUCGGCCACACUGGAACUGAGACACGGUCCAGACUCCUACGGGAGGCAGCAGUAGGGAAUCUUCCGCAAUGGGCGAAAGCCUGACGGAGCAACGCCGCGUGAGUGAUGAAGGUCUUCGGAUCGUAAAACUCUGUUAUUAGGGAAGAACAUAUGUGUAAGUAACUGUGCACAUCUUGACGGUACCUAAUCAGAAAGCCACGGCUAACUACGUG
rnacentral:rRNA from 1 species